GUCUAAGUAUAUACUGUUACUGUAUUAAGGCAAAAUCUCAAAUGGCUCAGUAAUUCUGUUAUAAUUCCUUGGAUCAUGCCUUUCUACUGGGAUAACUGUGGCAAUUCUAGAGUUAAUACAUGCAGCAGAGCUCUGACCCUCUGGGGAUGACAUUUGACCAAAAUCAAUCAGACCUCAUGUCCAUAUUUUGUGGUGACUCUGUAUAACUUUGGGCUGAUUUCAUGGGCUCUUUCUGCAAUGUAUCUUUCAAGUGUCUACUUUAUCAACUGUCAGUGGUAGGUUAUGCACCUACUGUGGUCAUAACAGGUGAAUUUGCAAAGGAAUAACAGGCUGAG
rnacentral:ncRNA from 1 species